rnacentral:rRNA from 1 species
GAUGAACGUUUGCGGGGUGCCUAAUACAUGCAAGUCGAGCGAACAUGUGACUACCUUGUUCCUUUGACGUUAGCCGGGGACGGAACACUAACGCGAGCUGCCCCUACCUGUGGGACUGGAAUAACUCCGGGAAACCGGGACUACUGACGAAUAGAUUUGGAACCGUAUGGAUUGAAAGCGAAAGAUGAUUUUGAUGGCACCGAUCAAUGGACCCUAGCCGGAGAGGCUAGGUCUCACCGUAACGAGGAACCUAAGCGGCCAUGAGAAGCCGACCUGACAGGCUGAUCGUGAACCCUGGAACUGACACACAGGCCAGACUCCUACGAGAAGCAGAGGUAGGGAAUCGUCCGCAAGGACCAACCAUCUGACGGAACAGCGCCGAGUGAGUGAUGAAGGUCCUCGCAUCGUAAUACGCUGAAAUCAACCGAAGAGCAGGUGUGUAAGUAACUAUGCACGACUUGACCCCACCUAAUCCGAAAGCCACGGCUAACUACGUGCCAGCGGGCGAGGUAAUACCUAAAUGGAAAGAGUUAUCCGGAACUAUUGGCCGUGAUACACGCGUAGGCGGUUUCUUAAGUCUGACGUGAAAGCCCACGGCCUUCAUGUGGAGGGUCAUUGGAAACUGGGAAGCUUGAGUGCCGAUGAGGAAAGUGGAAUUCCAUGUGUAGCGGUGAAAUGCGCGGAGAUAUGGAGGAACACCAGUGGCGAAGGCGACUUUCUGGUCUGUAACUGACGCUGAUGUGCGAAAGCGUGGGGAUCAAACAGGAUUAGAUACCCUGGUAGUCCACGCCGUAAACGAUGAGUGCUAAGUGUUAGGGGGUUUCCGCCUCUUAGUGCUGCAGCUAACGCAUUAAGCACUCCGCCUGGGGAGUGCGACCGCAAGGUUGAAACUCAAAGGAAUUGACGGGGACCCGCACAAGCGGUGGAGCAUGUGGUUUAAUUCGAAGCAACGCGAAGAACCUUACCAAAUCUUGACAUCCUUUGACAACUCUAGAGAUAGAGCCUUCCCCUUCGGGGGACAAAGUGACAGGUGGUGCAUGGUUGUCGUCAGCUCGUGUCGUGAGAUGUUGGGUUAAGUCCCGCAACGAGCGCAACCCUUAAACUUAGUUGCCAGCAUUUAGUUGGGCACUCUAAGUUGACUGCCGGUGACAAACCGGAGGAAGGUGGGGAUGACGUCAAAUCAUCAUGCCCCUUAUGAUUUGGGCUACACACGUGCUACAAUGGACAAUACAAAGGGCAGCUAAACCGCGAGGUCAUGCAAAUCCCAUAAAGUUGUUCUCAGUUCGGAUUGUAGUCUGCAACUCGACUACGUGAAGCUGGAAUCGCUAGUAAUCGUAGAUCAGCAUGCUACGGUGAAUACGUUCCCGGGUCU